ACGUAGGGUGCGAGCGUUAAUCGGAAUUACUGGGCGUAAAGCGUGCGCAGGCGGUUUUGUAAGCCAGAUGUGAAAUCCCCGGGCUUAACCGGGGAACUGCGUCUGAUACUGGAUGGCUUGAGUUUGGGAGAGGGAUGCGGAAUUCCAGGUGUAGCGGUGAAAUGCGUAGAUAUCUGGAGGAACACCGGUGGCGAAGGCGGCAUCCUGGACCGGCAUUGACGCUGAGGCGCGAAAGCCAGGGGAGCAAACGGGA
rnacentral:rRNA from 1 species